rnacentral:rRNA from 1 species
UACGUAGGUGGCAAGCGUUGUCCGGAAUUAUUGGGCGUAAAGCGCGCGCAGGCGGCUUCUUAAGUCUGAUGUGAAAUCUCGGGGCUCAACCCCGAGCGGCCAUUGGAAUCUGGGAAGCUUGAGUGCAGAAGAGGAGAGUGGGAUUCCACGUGUAGCGGUGAAAUGCGUAGAUAUGUGGAGGAACACCAGUGGCGAAGGCGACUCUCUGGUCUGUAACUGACGCUGAGGCGCGAAAGCGUGGGGAGCAAACAGG